rnacentral:rRNA from 1 species
UACGUAGGGGGCAAGCGUUGUCCGGAAUUAUUGGGCGUAAAGGGCGCGUAGGCGGCCUGGCAAGUGGAAGGUGAAAUCCCUCGGCUUAACCGAGGAACUGCCCUCCAAACUGCUUGGCUUGAGUCCGGGAGAGGUGAGUGGAAUUCCCAGUGUAGCGGUGAAAUGCGUAGAUAUUGGGAGGGACACCAGUGGCGAAGGCGGCUCACUGGACCGGAACUGACGCUGAGGCGCGAAAGCGUGGGGAGCAAACGGG